rnacentral:lncRNA from 1 species
UUUCAGCAUGUGGAGGAUGAGUUUUUGUUGUUAAGAUGGGGAUGGCAGAAUCGGUUUUGGCAACUGGAGUGAACAAUUACCAUGAUGAUUCAUGUCCUGGUGUCUUUGGGAACAAACAACCAGAGAGUAAAAGGUAGGAGAAGCAGGAACAAUGGAGAGAAGUUCCAAGUAGGGGACACUAAUGGAAAAGUUUUGAUGUAUGCUAAUUGAUGUUUGUCCAAGCAUUAUGAAGAAAUAAUCCACAGGAGCCACAGAAGCUUUUACAAGGCGAAGUCGAG